AACGAACGCUGGCGGCAUGCCUAACACAUGCAAGUCGAACGAUGCCUCCGGGCAUAGUGGCGCACGGGUGCGUAACGCGUGGGAAUCUGCCCUUGGGUUCGGAAUAACUCGCCGAAAGGCGAGCUAAUACCGGAUGAAGACGUAAGUCCAAAGAUUUAUCGCCCAAGGAUGAGCCCGCGUAGGAUUAGCUAGUUGGUGGGGUAAAGGCCCGCCAAGGCGACGAUCCUUAGCUGGUCUGAGAAGAUGAUCAGCCACACUGGGACUGAGACACGGCCCAGACUCCUACGGGAGGCAGCAGUGGGGAAUAUUGGACAAUGGGCGAAAGCCUGAUCCAGCAAUGCCGCGUGAGUGAUGAAGGCCUUAGGGUUGUAAAGCUCUUUUACCCGGGAUGAUAAUGACAGUACCGGGAGAAUAAGCUCCGGCUAACUCCGUG
rnacentral:rRNA from 1 species